rnacentral:rRNA from 2 species
GGGAAUAACGUGUCGGAUUAUUGGGCGUAAGCGCGCGCAGGCGGCUUCUUAAGUCUGAUGUGAAAGCCCACGGCUCAACCGUGGAGGGUCAUUGGAAACUGGGAGGCUUGAGUGCAGAAGAGAAGAGCGGAAUUCCACGUGUAGCGGUGAAAUGCGUAGAGAUGUGGAGGAACACCAGUGGCGAAGGCGGCUCUUUGGUCUGUAACUGACGCUGAGGCGCGAAAGCGUGGGGAGCGAACAGGAUUAGAUACCCUGGUAGUCCACGCCGUAAACGAUGAGUGCUAAGUGUUAGGGGGUUUCCGCCCCUUAGUGCUGCAGCAAACGCAUUAAGCACUCCGCCUGGGGAGUACGGCCGCAAGGCUGAAACUCAAAGGAAUUGACGGGGGCCCGCACAAGCGGUGGAGCAUGUGGUUUAAUUCGAAGCAACGCGAAGAACCUUACCAGGUCUUGACAUCCCGCUGACCGGUGUAGAGAUACACCUUUCCCUUCGGGGACAGCGGUGACAGGUGGUGCAUGGUUGUCGUCAGCUCGUGUCGUGAGAUGUUGGGUUAAGUCCCGCAACGAGCGCAACCCUUGAUCUUAGUUGCCAGCAUUCAGUUGGGCACUCUAAGGUGACUGCCGGUGACAAACCGGAGGAAGGUGGGGAUGACGUCAAAUCAUCAUGCCCCUUAUGACCUGGGCUACACACGUGCUACAAUGGAUGGUACAGAGGGCAGCGAGACCGCGAGGUUCAGCGAAUCCCUUAAAACCAUUCUCAGUUCGGAUUGCAGGCUGCAACUCGCCUGCAUGAAGCCGGAAUCGCUAGUAAUCGCGGAUCAUCAUGCCGCGGUGAAUACGUUCCCGGGCCUUGUACACACCGACCGUCACACCACGAGAGUUUGUACACCCGAAGUCAGUGGGUAACCCUUUCUGGGAGCCAGCGCCCAAGCUGGGACAGAUGAUGGGGUGACGCCUAACUUGGUGAAGAGGAGUGAGGCAAAAAU